rnacentral:rRNA from 1 species
ACGUAGGUGGCAAGCGUUGUCCGGAUUUACUGGGCGUAAAGAGCGCGCAGGCGGCCGAGUAAGUCAAAUGUGAAAGCCCCCGGCUCAACUGGGGAAGGUCAUUCGAUACUGUUCGGCUUGAAGAUAGGAGAGGGAAGCGGAAUUUCAGGUGUAGUGGUGAAAUGCGUAGAUAUCUGAAGGAACACCAGUGGCGAAGGCGGCUUUCUGGCCUAUUCUUGACGCUGAGGCGCGAAAGCUAGGGGAGCGAACGGGA